CAGCAGUCCACUACUUGCCCCAGAUGUCUGCUAUAUUGAAACAAAGUUUAAGUUUCAAUAGCCUGUUCAAAAGACUAUUGCUCAAGGAGAGACGCAAUUCCGCCCUUUCUGGCAGGUCAUUAUACUGUGAUCGCACCAGCAUGGAGCCCCACGUGUGAUGCCAUUGUUGUCAGUACCCAUCUGGUGGUUGUAACGCUCCCAUGAAAUCAGUAAUGAAGCAGUAUCACUCAGGCUUUCCUGCGCUGGACCAUUGGCCAUCCUGGGAUCUCUCGCUCUCCCCUGGCAUGGUGUUUGGAUCUAAUUCUUCGUCCACUAAGAGAUUCAGCCUCUCUCCUUGGUCCCUCUGUCCCUUUUGUGCAUGUUGUCCUUGUCUCUCUCUCCCUCUGUUUCUGUGUUUCCUUUAUCCUGUCUGUGUGAAUGAUGAGCUUGAGCUUUGCCUUUUGUGUUUCUUGGGGAGAUUUCCUUAUCUAAACCAAGGGUCUAAGGAUAGAGGGGAUUGUGAUGCCCCUUGAGGCAAAUUUUUGAUUUCUGAU